AUGAGUUCGUCGGAGAGAGGCAAGCGUCAUGGUAGCGGAAUCGCGCGAGGGCUCGAUCUGACGAUUGUGGCGUUGUCAGAAGAGGUUGAUGGCGAGAGGAGGAGUAAAUUAGUGUGGGGGAAAGUGGCUCCGAUGGUUGAUGUGGGGGGAGGUCGCGGAUCAGAAGAUUUGUCGGAGGUGAAGGUAUGUACUGCGCAACGGUUCUUUUAUAGAUUGACAGGUCGCCAACAAUCAGAAUCAUGUUUCCGACAUCGUCCCAGCGACUCUGUAUUUCAUUCUUUCAGUUCGCUGUCAGUGGCCUGCUAUGAAGCAUCACUACCUGGGCUGGCUUUUAUUUAUGGUGAAUGUCGGAAGCUCUAUCGAGAAUUUCAAAAUCAUUUGUCAACCUGA